UAGUAUUCAAUUGUCAGAGGUGAAAUUCUUGGAUUUAUUGAAGACUAACUACUGCGAAAGCAUUUGCCAAGGAUGUUUUCAUUAAUCAAGAACGAAAGUUAGGGGAUCGAAGACGAUCAGAUACCGUCGUAGUCUUAACCAUAAACUAUGCCGACUAGGGAUCGGAUGAUGUUAAUUUUCAAUGACUCA
rnacentral:rRNA from 1 species